rnacentral:rRNA from 1 species
AUGGAGCUCGUGGCGUGGAAUUGUCGGGGGUUGGGGAACGGCCCGGCAAUUCGAGGGCUCCUGGAUAUCCGGGAGAAGGAGGACCCUGAUGUGAUGUUUCUCUGUGAGACAAGGACCGAUGAGAAGGGAUUGGAGUGGCUCAGGUGGAAGUUAGGGCUCCCUAACUGGGUGGUGCAGAAAAGUGCGGGACAGAGUGGCGGAUUGGCAGUGUUAUGGCGGAAUGGUUUGACAGUGAAAGGUGGAUGGUGUUCUCGGUAUCACAUUGACACUGAGAUUACCGAGGAGGAUGGUUUUGCCUGGAGAUUUACUGGUAUCUAUGGGGAGUCAAAGAUGGAUGAAAAACACAAGACUUGGAAACUACUGCGUACUCUGAAAAAUCAUAGCAAUAAACCUUGGCUGAUGGCGGGGGAUUUCAAUGAGAUCCUACUCCAGUGCGAGAAGGAAGGGGGGGUGGCUCGGUCCCAACAAGCUAUGGACAGCUUUUGAAGUGCUCUGGAGGAGUGUGACCUGCAUGAUCUCGGCUUCGCUGGUGAUCCAUACACCUGGCGAAAUAACAAUCAUGACUCGAAUAAAUAUAUCCGAGAGAGACUUGACAGAGCGGUGGCUUCACCAAGCUGGUGCCAACGAUUCCCCUUUUACAAAGUGGUGCAUGGUGACCCUCGGCACUCUGAUCAUAGGCCACUAAUUGUGCAGGUGGAGUCGGAGGGUAGGAGUAAGAGGCAAAGGGGUAGGAAGGGCCUAUUUCGCUUUGAAGCCAAGUGGCUGGAAGAGGAUCAGUGUGGUACUGUGGUGGAUAAUGCAUGGGGCAGAGAGAUAAAUGCUAGAGGGGGCUCCGUGAUGGAUGCACUAAAAGGAGUGGCGAAGGAUCUGACUGAGUGGAGUACAACCUGCUUGGGCCAGUUGGAGAAACGAAUUUCAAGACAAAAAAAAGAAUUGGAGGCAUGUCGAAGAAGUGCCAUUUCCCCUCAAUCGAUUCGGCGUGAGCAGAUUCUGAAAUAUAAGUUGGAAAGGUUGGAGCAUCAACUUGAUACAUACUGGAAGCAGAGGGAACACGUUAAUUGGAUGGAGAAGGGAGAUAAAAAUACUUCAUAUUUUCAGGCCUAUGCAUCAGCUAAAAAAAAGAUGAACCACUUCAGCAAACUCAAG